rnacentral:rRNA from 1 species
GUGAUGGACUGCCUUUUGCAUAAUGAGCCUGCGAGUUGUGGUGUCUGGCAAGGUUAAGCAAACGCGAAGCCGUAGCGAAAGCGAGUCUGAAUAGGGCGCUUAGUCAGAUGCUGCAGACCCGAAACGAAGUGAUCUAUCCAUGAGCAAGUUGAAGCUAGUGUAAGAACUAGUGGAGGACUGAACCCAUAGGCGUUGAAAAGCCCCGGGAUGACUUGUGGAUAGGGGUGAAAGGCCAAUCAAACUUCGUGAUAGCUGGUUCUCUCCGAAAUAUAUUUAGGUAUAGCGUUGUGUCGUAAUAUAAGGGGGUAGAGCACUGAAUGGGCUAGGGCAUACACCAAUGUACCAAACCCUAUCAAACUCCGAAUACCUUAUAUGUAAUCACAGCAGUCAGGCGGCGAGUGAUAAAAUCCGUCGUCAAGAGGGAAACAACCCAGACUACCAGCUAAGGUCCCUAAAUCUUACUUAAGUGGAAAACGAUGUGAAGUUACUUAAACAACCAGGAGGUUGGCUUAGAAGCAGCCAUCCUUUAAAGAAAGCGUAAUAGCUCACUGGUCUAGUGAUUUUGCGCGGAAAAUAUAACGGGGCUAAAGUAAGUACCGAAGCUGUAGACUUGCGCACAACUUAGAUUAUUUAAGUUUAGAAUAUGAGAAACUAAGUUAUAUGUUUAGUUAUAUUUUUACUGAUUUUUAUAGAGUAAAGAUAGAAAUAAAACUUAGUAAAAUCAGUAAAAAUAUUCUUAGACUAAAGUUAAGUAGUUUAAGUUGUGUGCAAGUGGUAGGAGAGCGUUCUAUUUGCGUCGAAGGUAUACCGGUAAGGAGUGCUGGAGCGAAUAGAAGUGAGCAUGCAGGCAUGAGUAGCGAUAAUUAAUGUGAGAAUCAUUAACGCCGUAAACCCAAGGUUUCCUACGCGAUGCUCGUCAUCGUAGGGUUAGUCGGGUCCUAAGUCGAGUCCGAAAGGGGUAGACGAUGGCAAAUUGGUUAAUAUUCCAAUACCAACAUUAGUGUGCGAUGGAAGGACGCUUAGGGCUAAGGGGGCUAGCGGAUGGAAGUGCUAGUCUAAGGUCGUAGGAGGUUAUACAGGCAAAUCCGUAUAACAAUACUCCGAGAACUGAAAGGCUUUUUGAAGUCUUCGGAUGGAUAGAAGAACCCCUGAUGCCGUCGAGCCAAGAAAAGUUUCUAAGUUUAGCUAAUGUUGCCCGUACCGUAAACCGACACAGGUGGGUGGGAUGAGUAUUCUAAGGCGCGUGGAAGAACUCUCUUUAAGGAACUCUGCAAAAUAGCACCGUAUCUUCGGUAUAAGGUGUGGUUCGCUUCGUAUUAGGAUUUACUCCGAAAGCGAAGAAACUUACAACAAAGAGUCCCUCCCGACUGUUUACCAAAAACACAGCACUCUGCUAACUCGUAAGAGGAUGUAUAGGGUGUGACGCCUGCCCGGUGCUCGAAGGUUAAUUGAUGGGGUUAGCAUUAGCGAAGCUCUUGAUCGAAGCCCGAGUAAACGGCGGCCGUAACUAUAACGGUCCUAAGGUAGCGAAAUUCCUUGUCGGUUAAAUACCGACCUGCAUGAAUGGCGUAACGAGAUGGGAGCUGUCUCAAAGAGGGAUCCAGUGAAAUUGUAGUGGAG